rnacentral:lncRNA from 1 species
AUCUGUACUCAAUGUGACUGUUGAGUGCUGUUAUUCUCUAGGUAUAUUAUCAGAGCAUUGUAAAGGAAGAGCAUUUCUCUGCGAACUCAUGGAAAAACAGUGGGGUUUUUUUCUUGGCCAGAUUCCCCAAAGAGAAUUGAAUUUCAAGAAGUUGCAGUGGUGUUUGAGAAGAUAAACCAGACACUCAGACAUUGUAGCUGCUGAGAUGAUCCUCUCCUGUAAACAGGGAUUUGUGGACAGCAGUUUCUCAAACAUGCACCCAUGAUUGCUGAAACUUCUUUGCAAUCACUCUGAGUGUGGCCUUCAAAUGACCUAGCAUCUGCUCCGUAAACAGCUGUCCAGCGAGCCUUUUGUUGUCAUCUGUAUUCUUUUUCAUAGCAGUGGAGAAAGGAAGAAACCCUAUAGCCCCUAGCUAGCUGCUGUGUUUCUCUGCUAGAGAUUGCCCACCCCAUCAGGGGAGUUGGUCAGUGAAACAGAGCUUUGCUUUCCACAUCCCAAUACACAUACUUCAGCUGCCACCAGUGACUCAAUGCA